rnacentral:sRNA from 2 species
CACGGUCGGACGCCGAACCCUGUCACCGACCGCGCUUCCACGGACGACCGCACGACAGGGGCGGGGGACCCACAUUCGGUCACCGGUGACGGUGUCCUCGGGGUGAAGCCGGACGGGCCUUCGGGUCCGGCGGCCGGGUGCUUUCUCCCACCCGAACCCGACAGCUGACCUCGUAGGCGUCAGGAGAGGUUGA